GGUGUGCAGCAGGAAAUCUGGACGAGGAGCAAGGUGGCGGCUCAGGAGGAGAGAGAAGGUCUGGGUGUGGUGGGUGUGGAGGACAGUGGGAAGCAGACACCAGGCCCUCCCAGGGGCUGCUGGCUGGAGACACUCCCACUUAGCAGUCUUUUCCUGAGCUGGUGAAACACAGUGGGACACUGUCUCACGGCUGGGCAGAGGCAGAGGAGCACAGCUCCUCUUCAGCCACAGGACCCCGAGGGCAAGCAGCCUGCCGUCUGUAUUGCACUGCUGAGCUGUGAUAUUGGAACCAAGGCAGCCUCUGAAGCAGGGAAGCUCCCAGGAUUACGUUCUCAUGAAUCACCGCUGUGGUGCUCAUGGCAACCAGGGAGGGCGAGCACCAAGUUCUACGAUCGAUGACAAUUGUACGCGAAAACCAGACUCACAUAAACCACCAGCAUGAACAAAGUGGAAGGAAUGUGUCAUCCCUGACUCGGAGCCGGGGGAGGCCUGCUGUCUAGGAAGUGACCUGCUGGGCUGCUCAGUUGGACCUGAGACCCCAGCUACAGGUGUGUGCUUUCCAACAGGUAGUGGAGCCAGAGAUGCCAAGGGUAGGAGGUUGAGUGUCUCCCUGGAAAUGGUCAAGUCACAACUAGAAAGAGAACUCUUUUAAAAAAUAUAUAUAUAAUAUUGCAGAAUACACCAAAAUCACCCAGUUCUUUCUGUUGUGAAGGAUGUACAUACAACUCUAUCGCAUUGUAGGAAAUGACCCAGAAAAACUCUUGGAAUAUUUCCAAGUUUUAUGAUUCUCCAGUUAAGUGUGUGUGUGUCCACAUUGUUAUUAGUAUGCAUUUUGGCUAAGCCUGUCCCCGUUCAGUGACUCCAUUUUCUACUCUAAACAUUGGAUCCUUAUUUCAGAGACUGAACUACCAAAUACAUAGCAAAUGAUCAGAGGAGCAAGGUGGAGUU